rnacentral:rRNA from 1 species
AAUGAACGCUGGCGGCAGGCUUAACACAUGCAAGUCGAGCGAGCGGCGGCCGGGUGAGUAAUGUCUGGGAAACUGCCUGAUGGAGGGGGCUAACUACUGGAAACGGUAGCUAAUACCGCAUACCAUCAGAUGUGCCCAGAUGGGAUUAGCUAGUAGGUGGGGUAAUGGCUCACUUAGGCGACGAUCCCUAGCUGGUCUGAGAGGAUGACCGACCAGACUGGAACUGAGACACGGUCCAGACGCCUACGGGAGGCAGCAGAGGGGAAUAUGGCACAAUGGGGGCAAGCCUGAUGGAGCCAGGCCGCGUGUCUGAAGAAGGCCUUCGGGUUGUAAAACAAUUUCAGCGAGGAGGCGUUACUCGCAGAAGAAGCACCGGCUAACUCCGUGCCAGCAGCCGCGGUAAUAC